rnacentral:rRNA from 1 species
CCCUUAGAUGUUCGGGGCCGCACGCGCGCUACACUGAAGGAAUCAGCACGUCUUUCUCCUUGUCCGAAAGGACUGGGUAACCCGCUGAACCUCCUUCGUGCUAGGGAUUGGGGCUUGUAAUUCUUCCCCAUGAACGAGGAAUUCCCAGUAAGCGCGAGUCAUAAGCUCGCGUUGAUUACGUCCCUGCCCUUUGUACACACCGUCCGUCGCUACUACCGAUUGGAUGGUUUAGUGAGAUCCUCGGAUUGGUCCCGGAGCGGCCUCUGGUCGUGCCGGAGUGCCGAAAAGAAUGUCGAACUUGAUCAUCUAGAGGAAGUAAAAGUCGUAACA